rnacentral:rRNA from 1 species
AACGAACGCUGGCGGCAGGCUUAACACAUGCAAGUCGAACGCCCCGCAAGGGGAGUGGCAGACGGGUGAGUAACACGUGGGAACGUGCCCUUCGCUUCGGGAUAGCCUCGGGAAACUGGGAGUAAUACCGAAUACGCCGUAUUGGGAAAGAUUUAUCGCCCAAGGAUGAGCCCGCGUAGGAUUAGCUAGUUGGUGAGGUAAAGGCUCACCAAGGCGACGAUCCUUAGCUGGUCUGAGAGGAUGAUCAGCCACACUGGGACUGAGACACGGCCCAGACUCCUACGGGAGGCAGCAGUGGGGAAUAUUGGACAAUGGGCGAAAGCCUGAUCCAGCAAUGCCGCGUGAGUGAUGAAGGCCUUAGGGUUGUAAAGCUCUUUUACCCGGGUAUGAUAAUGACAGUACCGGGAGGAAUAAGCUCCGGCUAACUCCGUGCCAGCAGCCGCGGUAAU